AUGAGGCUGUGUCUCUGCCUCCAGGUGCUGAUACUGGACGAGCCCACCUCGGGCAUGGAUGCCAUCUCCAGGAGGGCCAUCUGGGACCUUCUGCAACAGCAGAAAAGUAACCGCACCAUCUUGCUGACCACCCACUUCAUGGACGAGGCUGACCUGCUGGGAGACCGCAUCGCCAUCAUGGCCAAGGGGGAGCUGCAGUGCUGCGGGUCCUCACUGUUCCUCAAGCAGAAAUACAGGCCUCAGGAAAUGUUUACUGAAUGAGUACAUCAACGAACAAUAGUAACAAGUGUUGCUAAGUGCUGAAAGAAUUUGGAAUGCCA
rnacentral:lncRNA from 1 species